rnacentral:rRNA from 1 species
UACGUAGGCAGCGAGCGUUGUUCGGAGUUACUGGGCGUAAAGCGCGCGCAGGCGGCAGAGCAAGUCGAGUGUGAAAGCCCCGGGCUUAACUUGGGAAUUGCGCUCGAAACUACUUUGCUGGAGUGUGGCAGAGGAAGGUGGAAUUCCACGUGUAGCGGUGAAAUGCGUAGAGAUGUGGAGGAACACCAAUGGCGAAGGCAGCCUUCUGGGCCAACACUGACGCUCAUGCACGAAAGCGUGGGGAGCAAACAGG